rnacentral:rRNA from 1 species
UACGGGGGGAGCAAGCGUUGUUCGGAUUUACUGGGCGUAAAGGGCGCGUAGGCGGCGCAACAAGUCACUUGUGAAAUCUCCGGGCUUAACCCGGAGCGGCCAAGUGAUACUGUCGUGCUAGAGUGCGGAAGGGGCUACUGGAAUUCUCGGUGUAGCGGUGAAAUGCGUAGAUAUCGAGAGGAACACCGGUGGCGAAGGCGGCAUCCUGGACCGGUAUUGACGCUGAGGCGCGAAAGCCAGGGGGGCAAACGGG